rnacentral:misc_RNA from 1 species
UGCGAAGAGUGUAAUUUUGUCAUCGUCGCCGCAGUUCGAUCGUCGUCGCAUCCGUUCCCGGACGGUUCUCUGGUGCGUUUUUCUUCCUUCUGGUCCGUCGUUGUGUGUCCGAUCCGUGGUGUCCCCGUGGAACCUGCCAGCACCAAGGUGUGCACCGUGUGCGUGUUAGUGUGUAUCGGAUUACCUUUUCCGGAGGAGAAGCGCAGUGCAAAAAUUUGACCGCGCAGUAUCGACAACACCCGUAGGAUCAAACCCCCGGUAGCCGCGAGCAAACAAUGCAAAUAUGGACCUGUCCGUGCUCAUCGUAAUGUUCGUCGCGACCCUGCUCGUGCUCGUUGGUCUGUACUUUUUCCUGAUGAAGCCCCUGGCCGGCAAGUCGUACGAGGAGAUGCAGAAGGAGAAGCUCGCGAUGCGCGAGAAGAUUAUGGGAACCGGUGCCGGUGCCGCCACCAGCGCCAAGUCGUCCAAGGAUAACGCCAACAAGAAAACGAAAAAGGUCAACAAGAACAAGCAGCAGCAGAAGCAGAAGGCCGCCGUCAAGGACUCCGACCAGGACUCGGUGGUGGAGACCGAAUCGGCCGAGUCCGAGUUUGAAGAGGAGAUCAACCCGCUGACCUACGCCAAGAAGAAGGUGAACGCGAGCGUCGAGUACGCCGAGACGGAAGCGUUUGCGCUGAACGCCGACGGGCAUGGAAAGAAAAAGGACAAACCAAACCAGGGCAAGAAGAACAACAAGCAAAAGGGAGGCAUUCUGCUGAACAAGUCGGAACCGGUGCUGGUGAAGCAGGAGUCGGCCCAGGAGAUCAACCACUUUGAGGAGAUUCACCCGAAGGAUGCGCUGGAAAUCGCUCGUCAACACAAAGAGGAAGACGCUAAGAAGUCUCAGCCGAAGGAAGUCGCGGACAAGGCACGUCAACCUGCCGCUGCCACCACCGCUGCCGUGAAGAAGGAGGAAGAAGUCAAGACCAAAUCCCACCCCAAGGAUCAACGCAAGCAAAAGAACAAGGAAAACGCCAAGCCACCGCUGACCAAAACUAGCGCCGUCGAGGAGAUUCCGGUCGUGCCGGCUGUGGUGGCCCCGGUAGUGACGGCCAACCCCGUUGCAGCCCCCGCCGAAGUCAAGUCGUCCGCCAACGUCGUCAACAAGGACAAGUCCAACAAGAAGAAGAAGAACGAACUCAUCACCCAGCAGCUGGCCGCCGAAGUGCACGACGCCGUCAACGUCCAAUCGCUGGUGCGCAUCCUCGCCAAGGCCGACCUGCCCCGCAACGAUAUUCAAAUUUUGAUCGACUUUCUGCUGAACAAGCAGCAGGACACGCUCACGAAGGACCCGUCCGAGUGGAACGACCCCUCGGACCCGCUGCAGAAGCUCAAGAAGCAGCUCCAGGAAAAGCAAAACCAACUCGACGAGGAACAGAAGGGCGCCGCCGGCCUUCACGCCAAGCUCAAGGAGCUGCGCCAGGAGUUGAACAGCGAGAAAUCUCAGGCCAGCGCCGUCGUCAAGGGCUUCAACGAGGAGCUCAACAACAAGAAACUCGAAGUCCAGAGCCUGUCCCAGCAGCUGCAGCUCGUCUCGGACAAGUACUCGGCCGAAAAGCAAGCCCUCACCCACCAGUUCCAGCAGCUACAGGCCAAGUACGUGCAGCUGUCGGAGAAGCAUGCCGCCGCCCAGGAAGGCGUCGCCAGCGUUGCCCAACUCAACGAGAACAUGCAAAUCCUACAGCGCGAACUCAUGACCAAGAGCCAACUGCUGAACGAGAAGCUGCAGGUCGAAGAGGAACUGCUCAAGAAGAAGACUGAAUACGAGAUGCUGCUCCGCAGCAAAGACGAAGCCCUCCAGCAGCGUGCACAAGACGUUGCCGCGUACGAGGCCGAACUGCAGCAGCUGCGCGUCGUCGCCACCCAAAAGGACGAGCUGGCCAAAUCCUGCCAGCAGCAGAGCUUCGAAAUCGACCAACUCAAAUCCCAACUGGGCGAGCUCCAGCUCAAGCAGAAGCAGGCAGCGGCCGCCAGCAACCAGGUCGAGGAGAGCAGCAAGGUCGAACUCCGAAACCUCCAGAAUGCCUUAGACUCGAGCAAAACGGAGCUGGCCGGCUGCCGGGCCGAGCUCGUCGCCGCCAAGUCCCGCUCCGGCGACCAGGACCAGCAGCUCAAGGAGCUGCGCGUCCGCGAGGAGGACCUCCAGAAGCAGCUGCACGAGCAGCGCGAGAAGAACAAUGAUUUGCGCAUGAAGAACUGGAAGUUGAUAGAGGCACUGCAAGUGGCCCAAAGCAAAACGGCCACCACUAACACGAGUCAAAGUAGUAAAGUUGAACUGACGGCGGCGGCCAGUAAAAUUGCGUCCAACCAUGUCGUCGUGGAAGCGCCCGCACCCAAGGUCGACAUCGACAAGGUCAUCCUGGAGGAACAGAACCGCACCAAGGAUCUGCUGGUGAAGCUGCUCCCGACGGAGAUCGUCUCGGCACUGCCACUGGACGCGGCCAACUUUUACAGCUGGCUCGAGUCCACCGUUGUCUGCAUCCAGGAGCAGCAGCAGGAGUGCAUCCGAACUGCCACAGAAGCUGCUGCUGCGGCGGCGGCGGCGGCUGCCUCGGUCGCGGUCACCACCACCACCAACAGUAAUAAUAGCACCGAGGUGGGGCACCUCAACUGCAAUAGUAGGAGUAGUAACAAUAAUAGUAGUUUAUACGAAAAUAAUGACGCCAACGGCAACGACGGCAGCAAUAAGAAUGGUGCCCCCGAGGGAGACCUGGAGGACCAGCAGGUGCUGGCGCAGCGGAACGAACAGCUCCAGAAGACCGUCGAUCAGUACAAGACGAUCAUCGCGGACACGGAAAUCAUGCUGAAAAACCUAGAAUCGAAAGUAAUCGAACAGGACAUCCACUGGCGCUCGGUGGUGCAAGCGAAAGAGAAAGAACUGAACCUGCUCAAGUCGGCCGGCGCGAUGCAGUAGUGUUGAGAGCGCGUGCGCGUGAGAGUGUGUGAACGAGCAAGCGUGCGAGCGAAAUUGAGUGAGUGAUCGGAGAUCGAUGUGACAACCCCCGCGGGACUUUGGUAAGACCGUGACUAAAAGAAGAGGACUGAAUCGCGCGCGAAAGUAGUGAUCGCCACACAAAAACACACACCUCCACACACAGAUUAUCUCGAAUUUCAGUCCUAGAUCGUUCCGAGUUUUGUCUAAAUUCAUCCUAUUAUCGGUAGAACAAAAAAAUCUUAGAGUUUCAAAGCGCCACACCUAAAAAGCCGGUCUUGAGAAGGGGUGUCGUGCGUGCAAAUCAUGCUCAAAUUCGAUCCAAUAGUUGCUUUUUAUGAAAUCAAAAUUUGUCCGGACCGUCACCAAACAGGCUCGGUAGGACGAUGAGCUGACUGUGUUCUGGCAGAUGAGACUGUGACCCGAAACGUGACCUCGAACCGUGUAGACUUUCCGAGUGAAAGGGAGAGAUACAUAAGUGUUAUUAGUAUGAGAACAAACUAUUGUGAAUUUUUAGGAUGGGAUACGAGUAUAAAUUACCCAAAUUAAUCAGUUGUAGUAUAUUCACAUACGAAAAACGCAUUUUGUUUCGCUUUCCGCAUUUCCGAAACUGAAGGAAUCCUAGUUUAUUUUUUUGGUACCGCUGCGAAGAUCAAAAGAGAGGUUAGCAUUUUCCUUUUUAAUAAGAGCCCAAUUCCAAACAGUGAAGCGAAAAACGUUGUACAUGUAAACUAAGAGAAAUAAUGACUAAUAUACUCCCCUACCCCGCCCAUGCUGCUGAAAACGCAAGAACCCUCUCACAGACAAACGUACGUAAAUCUGCUUUAGAAUUUCAUCAUGCAACAUUUUAACGGUCAAUUCAAAAUGUUUGGAAGCUCACCACGGCAGUUUUGAACUCACCACAGCUCUGGUUUUGACGCCUUUGACAGUUUGUUGAAAAUACAAUAGAGCAGUUCGGUUUCAAUGAACGAUUUCCAAAAUUCAAAAAAAUAUUACUUUAAUAGUCAGGACCCGGUGCCUGCAGUUCCCGUUACAGUUUAUAUGGAAUUCCAAUAAGAAUGUAACAGAAAAAUUAGGCUCCGGGUCCAGACUGUUAAUCAGAUUUUUGCAAAUAUGAGUUGAAAUUUUAAACUUUGAAACUUUUAAUCAAAUAGUUAAAUUUGACCCUUAAUCGGUUUAAGGAGGUGGCAAACAAACAAACUUAUCCUACAACUUUAAAAAACAUUAUCGAUCAGAAACACCCUUAUCGAAAUACUGAUUUUUGGAUAUUUGCACAGCAAUUCUUUAAUGGUCAGCCCAAAAAUUAGUAUGGACAAAUCAGUCAUGAAAAAUUGCUUCUUUUGACAUCCAGUUUAAGACCGUUGAAAAUAUUUUUCAAAGUUUCGCAGCAAGCCGUAGUCGAAAAUGAUGGCCAUUGUGCGCAGAGCAACCUAAAUUUUUAACGCAUCGAUUUCCCUCGAACAUAUUUUAGUGAGAAAUUGAUGUUUUCGCAACAGGCAACAGGUUGCACUAGUGAGCAAUCUCUUUCUUUUUUUUAUUUGUCGAUUUGUGUAUGACAUUAAUAUAUGAUUUUCAUCUGUUUGUCUAUGAUUGUUGGAUUCCUGAAAAAAAACGAGAAUCACGCAGCAAAACCCAGCAAGAAUCUGUAUACCGAUUUACAUGAAUUUAUUUGAUCAAGUACGAUUUAGUUUUAAACUUCUCAUCACUCAUAUAGUGCGUAGCGAGCCACAUUUUGUAAUCGAAUUUACUACGUAAAAAAACCCUGAGAAAAUCUUCCAGCGUAGAAGCAACCAACAUACACGUAACAUUAGACACGAAAGAACAAGAAAAUGAAAACACUCUCAAUUAAGUAAUCAAUGUCCCUUAUAUGUUGCCCCUCAAUCAACCGAUUGUUAAAAACAAUGAAUAUCUACGUAUAUUUAGUACUAAAGAAACGUUACUCCUUCAAUAACCACCAACACACACAGUUUAUACUUUUUAAGCCACGUUAACCCCAUCUUUUAUUUGUGUUUGCUCGAGAAAGAUUCCAUCGAAUCAAGUUUAGUGCAACAAGCCGCAUCCUGCUUGUUGCAGAAAUGCCCUACUAUUUAUUUCCCGACUUGUUGAAACACACGAAAGUAAAAGAACAAACUAAUAAAAAAAACUAAAUGUGUACCCCCCGCAAACCAGUAUCGUGGAAGAGAGAGAGAGAGCGCGCGCACGAAAUCGAGAUAGAGAAGAAAUCCACGUUUGCGCGCGAGCGUCGCUUAAAAAGACAUGUGAAAUAUUAUUUUUUAUACAUAAAAGAAAGGAUAAAAAUGAAUAACUAGAAAGUAACAGUUAGAUAAAUCAUAUACAUAUAUUAUAUCUUCUAGGAGAACAAACAAAAAGAACUAUGAAUGAGUAAAAAGAGCAAAUUGUGCGCGCAAAUGACAGCAUCCGCGAGAAAGAGAAUGACUAUUGGCAGAGCAGAAGAAAAAGCCCAAAAACUGAGUUGUCGUCAACCGAGACUAUAAAUUACGAUUACCUAAAAAAAAAACAAAUGAAUGCACAGAAAGCUUUCCGUGAUGCCCCGUGAAAAUGUAGAAGGAGAAGAGGAAAAAAGAAAUAAAAAAAAACAAAGAUUCCGUUUUCUUUUUUGGAUUACACACACUCAAAUUGACGAUCAGACGCGUCGUCAAACGUAAAACAGAAAUUAAACCCUUAUUCAAUGCAACAGCAAAAAAAAAACAAAAAAAAAAACAAAUGGCUAAUAAUUGAUAUUUGUGAAACGAACAAUGAAAAAACCUAGCGCGUUCUUUUCUGCUGCAAACAAAGGUAGUUUGAAACGGAAUAAAUUAAUUAUAACUC